GACGAACGCUGGCGGCGUGCUUAACACAUGCAAGUCGAACGGAAAGGCCCUGCUUUUGUGGGGUGCUCGAGUGGCGAAAGGGUGAGUAACACGUGAGUAACCUGCCCUUGACUUUGGGAUAACUUCAGGAAACUGGGGCUAAUACCGGAUAGGAGCUCCUGCUGCAUGGUGGGGGUUGGAAAGUUUCGGCGGUUGGGGAUGGACUCGCGGCUUAUCAGCUUGUUGGUGGGGUAGUGGCUUACCAAGGCUUUGACGGGUAGCCGGCCUGAGAGGGUGACCGGCCACAUUGGGGCUGGGAUACGGCCCAGACUCCUACGGGAGGCAGCAGUGGGGAAUAGUGCACAAUGGGCGGAAGCCUGAUGCAGCAACGCCGCGUGCGGGAUGACGGCCUGCGGGUUGUAGGCCGCGUUCGCCUGUGACGAAGCGUGAGUGACGGUAAUGGGUAAAGAAGCAACGGCUAACUACGUG
rnacentral:rRNA from 1 species